UCUAUGGCUUGUGUCAGUUGCUAUGUUUGAUUUCAUUUAUUUAAAAGAAAAUAUAAAAACCCAUGAAAUAUGAAUUGGAGAAGAACGCAGACAAAAUAGAAAACUGUCACUCUGGUCAAUGGCGAUACAAUUGUGCCUUUCCUGUGCUCCAUUUGCUGUUCUUUUAUAGAAUUUGAAAGAUACUACAUUUAAUAUGCAUCCUGAACAAUUUGCCUACCAUAAGAAUACUUUGGACUUCACUUUAGACUUUUAAAGAAAGCACUUCGAACAAUUCGCCUACGGAGUUUUGUCUGUGUUUUGGGUUAUUGACUGUAAUUGUGAUGGACAUCAGAACGUUGUUACAGAAUUAUUUUUGCCAGUUGAUGCACGCGACAUUCAAAAGUCAGCAAUGAUUACAAGCUUACUCCAGGACUAUUUGGAAACCCCAGAGGCACCAACAAUUUUGGGAUACCUCAAGGAGAGAGUGUAAAGAUUGCAACCCUAUUUCAGGAUAGUUUGGUCACCACUCAUCAGUUGGUACACUACAGGGAGAGUGUAUUUCAUUCUUUAACUAACUCAGGACUUUUUACAAACAAUAUGGAUUACAAGCCUACAUCAGGGACAACUUGGGAAACAUCAAGAAAAGACAACAGGGAUUGCAAGCCUACUUCAGGGACAACUUGAGAUACAUCUGGGA